rnacentral:rRNA from 1 species
GACGAACGCUGGCGGCGGGCUUAACACAUGCAAGUCGAACGAAGUGGCGAACGGGUGAGUAAUACGUGGGUAACCUGCCCUCCUUUUUGGGAUAAGCUUCGGAAACGGGGUCUAAUACCGACAUAAGGGGGAUGGGCUCGCGGCCUAUCAGCUUGUUGGUGGGGUGAUGGCCUACCAAGGCGGUGACGGGUAGCCGGCCUGAGAGGGUGACCGGGCACAUUGGGACUGAGCUGCGUCCCAGGCUCCGAAGGGGGGGAGCAGUGGGGGCUAUUGCACAAUGGGCGAAGGCCUGAUGCAGCGGCGCCGCGUGAGGCAUUCAGGCUUUCGGGUUGUAAACCUGUUUCGCUAUCGAGCGGGUAGGUGGAGAAGAAGCGCCGGCUAACUACGUGCCAGCAGCCGCGGUAAUAC